rnacentral:sRNA from 1 species
CCCGGGUGUUGGGCUGGGCCCCGCCCUCUUUCACCCAUAACUGAAAUAACCAGGAGCAGGCUGGGGGGAUCCCUGCGUCAUCGUUCCGGCCCACAGGCCCCACGCCUAGCCUGGCUGAGCAACGCCCGCCCUGACCAGCCGCCGGACAGAGCGGCCGUUAGGGGGCCGUGGGAGGGGGUGGGCUCUUCUGGGGCUGAGACACGGGAGACCCCAACGUGUCAAAAUGCAAGUGCGGCCCCAUAGAUCUCCUGUUCGUGCUGGACAGCUCAGAGAGCAUCGGCCUGCAGAACUUCGAGAUUGCCAAGGACUUCGUCGUCAAAGUCAUCGACCGGCUGAGCCGGGAUGAGCUGGUCAAGUUCGAGCCAGGGCAGUCAUACGCCGGUGUGGUGCAGUACAGCCACAGCCAGAUGCAGGAGCACGUGAGCCUGCGCAGCCCCAGCAUCAGGAACGUGCAGGAGCUCAAGGAAGCCAUCAAGAGCCUACAGUGGAUGGCUGGCGGCACCUUCACCGGCGAGGCCCUGCAGUACACGCGGGACCAGCUGCUGCCGCCCAGCCCAAACAACCGCAUCGCCCUGGUCAUCACUGACGGGCGCUCAGACACUCAGAGGGACACCACACCACUCAACGUGCUCUGCAGCCCCGGCAUCCAGGUGGUCUCAGUGGGCAUCAAAGACGUGUUUGACUUCGUCCCAGGCUCCGACCAGCUCAAUGUCAUUUCUUGCCAAGGCCUGGCACCGUCCCAGGGCCGGCCCGGCCUCUCGCUGGUCAAGGAGAACUACGCAGAGCUGCUGGAGGACGCCUUCCUGAAGAAUGUCACCGCCCAGAUCUGCAUAGACAAGAAGUGUCCAGAUUACACCUGCCCCA